GGUCGAGUGGCGCAAUUGGUUAGCGCGUCGAGCUAAUAGAACUCGGGUCACUCUGGGAUUCGAGCCAAAAACUCGAAGGCUGUGGGUUCGAGACCCAUCUUGACCA
rfam:Calocera cornea HHB12733 unplaced genomic scaffold CALCOscaffold_31, whole genome shotgun sequence.